AGUGAACGCUGGCGGUAGGCCUAACACAUGCAAGUCGAACGGCAGCACAGUAAGAGCUUGCUCUUACGGGUGGCGAGUGGCGGACGGGUGAGGAAUACAUCGGAAUCUACUUUUUCGUGGGGGUUAACGUAGGGAAACUUACGCUAAUACCGCAUACGACCUACGGGUGAAAGCAGGGGAUCUUCGGACCUUGCGCGAUUGAAUGAGCCGAUGUCGGGUUAGCUAGUUGGCGGGGUAAAGGCCCACCAAGGCGACGAUCCGUAGCUGGUCUGAGAGGAGGAUCAGCCACACGGGAACGGAGACACGGUCCAGAGUCCUACGGGAGGGAGCAGUGGGGAAUAUUGGACAAUGGGCGGAAGCCUUAUCCAGCCAUACCGCGUGGGUGAAGAAGGCCUUCGGGUUGUAAAGCCCUUUUGUUGGGAAAGAAAAGCAGCAGGUUAAUACCCCGCUGUUCUGACGGUACCCAAAGAAUAAGCACCGGCUAACUUCGUG
rnacentral:rRNA from 1 species